rnacentral:rRNA from 1 species
AGCAUAUCAAUAAGCGGAGGAAAAAAAACCACCAGGGAUUACCUUAGUAGCGGCGAGUGAAGCGGUAAGAGCUCAAAUUUGAAAUCUGGUACCUUCGGUGCCCCGAGUUGUAAUUUGAAGAAAGCUGUCUUGGAUUUGGCCUUUGUCUAUGUUCCUUGGAACAGGACGUCACAGAGGGUGAGAAUCCCGUGCGAUGAGGUGUCCAUUUCUAUAUAAGACGUUUUCGAAGAGUCGAGUUGUUUGGGAAUGCAGCUCUAAGUGGGUGGUAAAUUCCAUCUAAAGCUAAAUAUUGGCGAGAGACCGAUAGCGAACAAGUACUGUGAAGGAAAGAUGAAAAGAACUUUGAAAAGAGAGUGAAAAAGUACGUGAAAUUGUUGAAAGGGAAGGGUAUUCGAUCAGACUUGGUAUUUAGUUAUCAUUACUCCUUGUGGGUGGUGCUCUAGCUUUUUACUGGGCCAGCAUCAGUUUUGGUGGCAAGAUAAUGGCAGUUGAAUGUGGCUCCUCGGAGUGUUAUAGCUUCUGCUGAUAUUGCCUACUGGGACUGAGGUCUGCGGCUUUUGCCUAGGAUGCUGGCGUAAUGAUCGAAUACCGCCCGUCUUGAAACAUGGACCAAGGAGUCUAACGUCUAUGCGAGUGUUUGGGUGUAAAACCCGUACGCGUAAUGAAAGUGAACGUAGGUCAGGGCCCGUAAGGGUGCAUGAUCGACCGAUCCUGAUGUUUUCAGAUGGAUUUGAGUAAGAGCAUAGCUGUUGGGACCCGAAAGAUGGUGAACUAUGCCUGAAUAGGGUGAAGCCAGAGGAAACUCUGGUGGAGGCUCGUAGCGGUUCUGACGUGCAAAUCGAUCGUCAAAUUUGGGUAUAGGGGCGAAAGACUAAUCGAACCAUCUAGUAGCUGGUUCCUGCCAAU